rnacentral:rRNA from 1 species
GCAACUCGCCUGCAUGAAGCUGGAAUUGCUAGUAAUCGCGGAUCAGCAAGCCGCGGUGAAUACGUUCCCGGGCCUUGUACACACCGCCCGUCACACCAUGAGAGUCGGGAACACCCGAAGUCCGUAGUCUAACCGCAAGGGGGCGCGGCCGAAGGUGGUCCGGUAAUUGGGGUGAAGUCGUAACAAGGUAAC